rnacentral:rRNA from 1 species
AUGAUUGCCAUAAGUUGGAACUGCCGGGGGCUUGGGAACCCCGAGGCAGUUCGCGAGCUUCGCAGUGUUGUGAAGCAAGAAGGUCCUGUUCUCCUCUUUGUCACCGAGACGAAGAUUGGAGGGAAACGUGUUGAGAAGUUGAAAGAAAUCUUGGGUUUUGUUGGAAGCUUUGCGGUAGACAGUGUGGGCCUAAGCGGUGGGAUAGGCUUGUUCUGGUCCAAAGAUGUUGUAGUUGAACUAAAAAACUACAAUACCGGCCACAUUGAUGUUGUGGUUCGGAAGGAUUCCCCGAAUUCGGUGGAGUGGAGAUUUACUGGUUUUUAUGGAGCAUCAAGGGCACAAGAAAGACAUCACAGUUGGCGUUUUCUUUGGACGUACAUGAUAUACCACAUUCAGCCUGGCUCUGUAUGGGUGACUUCAAUGAAACAUUGUAUGCCGAGGAACACUUUAGUCCGGCGGCACGACCGGAGUGGCAGAUGA